CGGUCGAGCGUCGAUCCCACCCCUCAGCCGCUUCUUCCUCUUCCUCCUUCCUCCUUCGCCCUCCUCAUCCGCUUCUUCCUCUUCCUCCUCGUCCGCCCUCGAGAUCUCGUCGGCUACAUGGAGGACAAGGCCGCCGCCCUGUGAUCUUCCCACUACGGAGCUGGACUGACGCCCCUCCCCUGCAUCAAGCUCUUCUAUGCACCGUCUUGUCCAUGUGCUUGUCAAGUCUCGGGAGGGUUCUUCAUUGGGCUUCUUUCUAAACGAAGGAACAGCUUCCUUCGCUUGGUGGAUCAAUUGGAAAAGGAGUUGUGCUGGGGGGAGAGAGCACAAUUCAGCAACUUUAUGGUGCUAAAGCCACUUGUGAUGGUUCUCAUGCUAAAGAUUAGCCCUUCUUCAACUAGCUUUCCAGCUUGUCUCGCAAGCCAUGGGGGGAGGGGAAGCAAAAGCAGUAGCAGCAACAGAGUCUUAAAUGCCACGAUGGCAACUUGUGAUAUUCCCUGUGUAGCUGACCAUAUGCUGCUCUCCUUGAGUGCCGUAGACGAUUUGCCUCAAAUCCUAGCUUGCUUGGUUGGUGGGUUCAUCCUGACUGGUAAACUGUGUUCGGUAUACAUAUUUCUGCACCAUCAGAUCCCAAAUAAGCUAUCCCCGCUUGCACCAUCGGAUACAUGGUUGGAACAAACAUGCAGGUGUAUCUUUGAGUGAGUUUGUUUUCUCUGUUAGUUCACCUCUCUAGUUGUUUUGUUGAUGGAUAUUGUUUCUUGUUGGCAAAAUCCGAUUGCUUGA